rnacentral:rRNA from 1 species
CGGGUGAGUAACGCGUGGGUAACCUGCCUUGUACAGGGGGAUAACAGUUGGAAACGGCUGCUAAUACCGCAUAAGCGCACGGCAUCGCAUGAUGCAGUGUGAAAACUCCGGUGGUAUAAGAUGGACCCGCGUUGGAUUAGCUAGUUGGUGAGGUAACGCCCACCAAGGCGACGAUCCAUAGCCGACCUGAGAGGGUGACCGGCCACAUUGGGACUGAGACACGGCCCAG